AGAAAGGCCUUGAAGGAGACUAGUAAAUAUAACCCUGCCAUUUAGGGAAGGAAUGUCUUAGACUGAAAACAUUCCUAUGGUAAGAGAUAUUGAAUUCACUCUGGAGCUGACGCUGUAAAUAUAAGAAUGUACAUACAAAUGUAACUAUUUCUUAUGGUAAAGUGUUACGGUAAAUACCGUUAUGAUAAAGAAGUGUAUAAGGUGAGUGAUCGCCUUAUAAAUAAGGGUGGUACCGCGAGCCAUCGUCCCUUUU
rnacentral:ncRNA from 1 species